AUGGCAUCAGGAAACAUAAACACCUACAAGAUAAAAGCAAAACCUAAUCCUAAAAAAACAAGCCUGACUAUUUACCCACCCAGAUCUAACUCUGGAUUAGACCCAUGCAACUCACACUGGAGCCUAACAGCAGCUACUGCUGUUCAUGCUACUGUGAGAGAACAUUCUGAGAACUGCCUUCAUGGAGAGCCUAAAAAUCAGGCAGGAAAUCAGAUACAAAGAAGAAAAUGGGGUAACAAGAUAGUGCCACGUUACUGUAAGAAGAGCAUAAAUCUUUAUACAAGGGGGCAGACUGGAGAACGUCAGGGACUUCCAUGUGUGAAUGUUUAAAAGAAAACCUUAUUCGUGCUGGAGUGGGGAAGAAAGGAACUGACAAUCUGGGAACACAAAAAGAAAAAAGGGGGAACCUUAAAAUAUGAAGAUUGGCCAAGUCUUGAAUUCUGAAGUAAUCAGUGUUCUUUUCUGUGCCUUUUGUUUCCUCAUUAACUGGACCAGGACACUAUAUCUCUAAAAAGGACAAAAAAAGUUAGAGGGUGGAUUUUUGCCUGGUUUCCCUUCUAAAUCGCCAUUUAUACCCUGACAUCAGAUGACAUCAAUGGAACUGUCGAAAAAUCUUCUUUUUGCAAGAUUUCAGAAACAAUGCAGAUAUAGGGAAAAUGAAAAUAAGUGUUUGGUGAAGAGAGACGUCAAGAUCUAGGAUUAAGGACUAACAGGAACUCCAAGAUACUAUGCAGAUUCAUAUGGAGAGUUUUUGGUUAAGUGAAGUUUUAGUUUGUCUUUUUUUUUUUUUUUUCCCCUUUUUUCUUUUUUCUUUUUAAUGAGAACUUCUCUGCUGCCUCCCUGUCCAUAGUGCCCUGCUCCACAAAGGCUCUUGGGCUUUGGACUUUCCAUAGAGCACAACCCACUGAUCCUUAGGGUUACCAAGUGAGUGAGUAAGAUGAGGGCCAUAGGAAUAUCAUGUGUAUAGUGGCUAAAUUACACUAAUUAUCCUUCAGCAGUCCAAUCCUAUCUAUCUGUCCUGUCCUUCUCACUCUGGGCAGAGCAAGGCUUCUGGAGAAAGCAGGGAAUACUGUGAAGCAAGCAGAGAUCUAGUUUAUCUUCAUUUAUCUUCACUGUCAUUGUUGAUGGGAAUGAAAAAAACAAGGGCUUAAAUGUCCAAGGAUCAAAUGGGAUCCAACAGAUGGUGGGGAGACAUGAUCAACAGCACAGUAAUAAAUGGAAAACUCACCCCACUGAAUUCAAAAGGAAGAGUGAGGACUGUGGGAUUUCAGCAGCUUACAGGUGGGUAAUUUUCCUAUAAUUUCUGUUCAUUCUCAAAGGCAUUUAUCUCAAAAUCUGUUAGGGACACUUCUGUUAGUUUUCUCUCUGAGGAAUAAUACUGUCGUGCUGAGGAACAAGAGAACAGGACACCCUACACCACCUCAAAUCCUCAAAUGAACAAAGGGAGGGGGCUGUUUCUCCACAAUUUUUUUUUCCCCUCCAACCAGUUUAACUGGGCUGCUGAUGGGCCAGGCAGUCAAAAGAGAAUUCCAUGGGUUUAUGUAAAAAAACCAACUCCUUCUGCUAUAUCCUGCUCUCUGCCUCUCCUCCUCUUCUGUGCAUAUGAAGCUAUUCACAAGCCCUUUCCACCCCACUUAAUCUCCCCUCCUCCCCUUCUCAUGGUAAAAUCAACCCUCUACACUAGGCUUCAGCUGUUUUUUGGAGCUUGUCUGUUCACAUCACUGAGCAAGGGAUGAAGUAAUGAAAAUUACAAGCUGUGGAAAUUUGAUCUCUCUAUUCUGUAAUUACUACUCUCUGAAAUCUGAGAAUAUAUAUUUACUUUAAUACUCUUGCAGAGGAGGGGAAGUUUCCCCAAGGCAUAAAGCAAAGAGAGAGCUAGGAAGAAGGAACAGCAUGAACCAUUUGUAUUUGAUUAAAUGUUAUAUACAGUAGUGAGUGGAUCUUGUCUUUAAGGCUGGCACAGAAUCGCAGCAUUCAACUCGUCUUGGUAUUUAGAAGCAGUCAGUGUUUCCUCUUUGCUAUGGACAUUUGUAUACGGUAAUUUGAAGGAGUCCUCAUCUUCUCCAGCUUCCUCUACACAUAAUUGACAGUGUUUGCCAUUUCAUGAUAAGAUACAGGCAUUUUUCUUAAAAGGAUUGACCCUGAACCCUUGUGAACACAGUAAGAAUCAUAACUGUCUUUCAAAAAAUAAAGACAAAAAAACCUCAC